rnacentral:rRNA from 1 species
GGAGUCUGGUCCAUGUCUCAGUACCAGUGUGGGGGACCUUCCUCUCAGAACCCCUACUGAUCGUCGGCCAGGUGGGCCGUUACCCCGCCUGCAACCUAAUCAGACGCAUCCCCAUCCCAUAGCGGUAAACCUUUGCUCCGAAUUAGAUGCCCGCUUCGGAAAACAUAGGGUAUUAAUCCGAUUUUCACCGGGCUAUGCCCUACUACGGGGAAGGUUGGAUACGCGUUACUCACCCGUGCGCCGGUCGCCAUCAGAGUUUGCAAGCAAACUCCAUGCUGCCCCUCGACUUGCAUGUGUUAAGCCUGUAGCUAGCGUUCAUC